rnacentral:lncRNA from 1 species
UGGCGCCUGGGGGCUGCGGUGGGGUCUUGGGGUCGCGGUGGGGCCUUGGGGGGUGAUGGGUGGGUGCUGCUGGGUGGCCCCACGAGGUGACAAGUGGCCCUGGGGGGCUGCCACGUGUCCCCUUGAUGUCCCCACAGUGUCAUGGGUGUCCUUGGGGUGCUGCCACGUGUCCCCUUGGUGUCCCCACGGUGCGAUGGGGGCUCUGCCACAUGCGUGCCCCCCCCCCGCCCCACCCUCGCUGACGUCCCCGCGUGGUGAAGAGCGCCCUCCCCCCGUGUCCGUCCCCCCCCCAGAUCUACUUCCAGCUCCAGCGCGCCCUCAAGAUGAUCGUGGACCCCGUGGAGCCGCAGGGCGACAUGAAGUUCAAGUGGGACCUCAACGCCUGGACCAAGAGCGCCGAGAGCUUCGGCACCAUCGUUUCGGAGCGCAGCCUCCCCCCGCCGCCCCUCAGCCCCCAGCCGCCGGCCGCCAGCCCCGCU